rnacentral:tRNA from 1 species
CCUUCGGUAGCUCAGUUGGUAGAGCGGUGGACUGUAGUAUGAAUUGAUAUUGAAAUCCAUAGGUCGCUGGUUCAAAUCCGGCCCGAAGGA